rnacentral:lncRNA from 1 species
UUGCCGGCGUUUGACGAUAGACUCAACUGCUUGCCGGCGAGGCCCGUUCAGAGGCCUCCGGCGCAAUGUCAGGCUUUCUUGUCUAAGCCUGUCGAUUGUAACUCCUUUAACUGCAAAUCGUUUGUUCCUUCACCAACAUCACCUUCACCUGUAACUCCUUCACCUCCAUCACCUGGUACACCUUCACCUAUAACUCCUUCGCCGUUACCUUCGCCUUCAUCGCCACCUUCACCUGUAACUCCUUCACCCCCAUCACCUGGUACACCUUCACCCGGAACUCCUUCACCUCCAUCACCUGGGACUCCUUCGCAUCCAUCACCUGGGACACCUUCACCUGUAACUCCUUCGCCUUCAUCGCCUCCUUCACCUGCUACUCCUUCACCAUUACCUUCACCUACAACACCUUCACCACUGCCUACACCUCCAGCGCCUGCAACACAUCCUUCGCCACCGAACCCACUGGUACCUACACCUCCUUCGGAACCACCGGUGGUCGGACAUUCCCCUCCACCAGGACCGGUGGCACCUUCCCCACUACCACCCGUUCAUACUCCUCCUUCUCCGGUGUAUUUGCCACCACCACAUUCUUCCCCUGCUCCACCUGUCUACUCUCCACAACCUCCAACACCUUCACAUUUGCCGCCUCCGUCAUAUACUCCACCUUCUCCUUCACCUUCUCCAACGCCACCCUAUGUUACCCACCCUCCGCCGCCGCCGGCCCCAACCUUCUCGACACCACCACCUUCACAUGAUUACGGCUCAUCGCCACCUCCAACACCUCAUCACUCACCCUCACCUCAUGCAUAUCCUUAUUUAUCACCCCCACCACCUUCUCCUGUUCAUUUUCCACCUCCACCACCUUGUACAGAACUUCCUCCACCCCCUCCUCAAUCAACACCUUCUCCCACACCUUACCUUCCACCACCAUCCCCAUCUCACACACCUUAUCACCCACCACCAUCCCCUUCUAACACUCCUUAUCACCCAUCACCAUCCCAUUCUCCCCCUCCCCCUCCACCGCUUCAAUACAGUUCGCCGCCGCCGCCGCCGGCAUCUCCGCCACCCGUUUCUCCACCGCCACCUGUUGUGUACCAAAACCCACCACCUGCCCCUGUAUAUGAAGGGCCAUUGCCACCCAUCGUUGGACUCCCAUACGCAUCGCCUCCACCACCAC